UACGGAGGGUGCAAGCGUUAUCCGGAUUCACUGGGUUUAAAGGGCGCGUAGGUGGUUCUGUAAGUCAGUGGUGAAAUCUCCGUGCUUAACAUGGAAACUGCCAUUGAUACUAUAGGUCUUGAAUUAUCUGGAGGUUAGCGGAAUAUGUCAUGUAGCGGUGAAAUGCUUAGAUAUGACAUAGAACACCAAUUGCGAAGGCAGCUGGCUACAGGUAAAUUGACACUGAGGCUCGAAAGCGUGGGGAUCAAACAGG
rnacentral:rRNA from 1 species